GAUGAACGCUGGCGGCGUGCCUAAUACAUGCAAGUCGAGCGAAUGGAUUAAGAGCUUGCUCUUAUGAAGUUAGCGGCGGACGGGUGAGUAACACGUGGGUAACCUGCCCAUAAGACUGGGAUAACUCCGGGAAACCGGGGCUAAUACCGGAUAACAUUUUGAACCGCAUGGUUCGAAAUUGAAAGGCGGCUUCGGCUGUCACUUAUGGAUGGACCCGCGUCGCAUUAGCUAGUUGGUGAGGUAACGGCUCACCAAGGCAACGAUCCGUAGCCGACCUGAGAGGUGGAUCGGCCACACUGGGACUGAAACACGGCCCAGACUCCUACGGGAGGCAGCAGUAGGGAAUCGUCCGCAAUGGACGAAAGUCUGACGGAGCAACGCCGCGUGAGUGAUGAAGGCUUUCGGGUCGUAAAACUCUGUUGUUAGGGAAGAACAAGUGCUAGUUGAAUAAGCUGGCACCUUGACGGUACCUAACCAGAAAGCCACGGCUAACUACGUGCCAGCAGCCGCAGUAA
rnacentral:rRNA from 1 species